AGGGGUGGAUUACAUGCACACACGCGAUCACGUCCGUGAGGUGAGGGAGAACGAUGUCGACCUCGAUCACCAAAUAUCUUUGAAUAUACAUAUGUACUCAACAUGUCAUUGAAAAUCAUGUUAGGGUUUGCAAGAAACCAACGGUUAACUCCCAAACAACAGCCCUCCAUUACGCCAAUGCCAAUUAGCUUGGGUUCAAUAUUUUACAGCUAGUAGCCUACUGUUAUAGCUAUAGGAAACAACACAGCUAUCUGCAAAUCUUUAGCUACUAGCUAAUAUUUACAACUUUGCAAAAAGUCAAGUGCAACAAUUUUGAAACAAUAGGAAUCGGGUCGUAAAACAGAUCAAUGGUCAGAUACACACACAUCCUGAUUUAAACUAAUUUAGCUAGUGAUUUAAAAGAUCUGACACUAGAUCAGGGGAUAGCUACAGGCAAAUUUGACAUAGUUCAAAGACAUAUCAGUCAGAUGGAUUUUUCAACCACUCAAAUUCAAGACAUUCUGUCAGAGCCAAUGAGGAGGCACGGUGUUAUGUAGGCUGGACCCUGAGCAGUCAGAGCUUGUUUGUGAGAACAGGAUUUUGAGAGACAGAAAAAUUUAGACUCAUUAUAUAUAUUGAAAUUAAAACAUUAUUAAUUUCUUUCUUGGGGGUACUAGGCCUAUUUUUGACGGCACUUCAGCACUGUCUUGCCCCGGCCCAAAGCCGCCACUGAGGAUUAGGAAUUCCCGAAUGUCCAAGCCCUUUAGAAUACCAAGCGCAGUAUCACAGAGUGUCAAUGUCUCACGGGUAAACACUGCUAGGACCCAACACCUACAUGAUUUUAAGACCGACACACUGCAGGACAGCCGGAGUCAGCUCAGAGCUGAUACCAGCCUAAAGAGCAUUGAUCUUAAGCAGUACAGGAAAUCAAUCCAUGUGAGGAAUGGUGGUUUGAAGCCUUUGAAACCUGUUGGCCCACAGAGACCAAGUGUAUUCCAGUGUGCUGGCAUAACUUCAGACCCUAUGAAGAAUGUGCAAGAGAAAUACCACCAGGGUGACAACACGGCUCCUGUGUUCAGGCGCUUCUAUGAGGUGAUGCUUGAGGAGCCACAGAGAAGACGUCAAGACAGGCAAAGAUCUGCCCACACAUCAGGAACGUUUGGAGGUCACAUGGAUGAUGAACACCUAGAGACUGCAACAUCAGAUUACUGCCUGGAGGUCCCUAGCUGCUCCCCAGACUCCCUGCAGCUUCAGCUAGAGGGCCUGUGUCUGCAGGGGGAGUGGGGCCAGCUGGGUGGGGGUAAGAGGUAUAGCUCACUACCUACAAGUCACCCAGUAAAAGAGACUUUCUUCAAGAGUAUGGUGUCAAAAGACUCCCAUAAGGACGCAGGGUGUGCGAGUGGCAGGAAAAUAGAGGACACAAGUAAAGAGGACAGUUCGAAGGACACAGCAGACCCUUUCUUCAUUAACAAGUGGGAUCCAGGCCAGCUUAAAGUCACCUUCACACUUAAAGACUCAAAUGAGCAGAUGAUAAAGAGCAUCCUCCAAAAGCCACCCUCUUCCUGAAACUCAGCAAGAAUCGAGUCCAUAUUCUUUAUAGUGGUCACUUGACAUCAGAGGUGAAAAAAGUACCCAAUUGUCAUACUUGAGUAAAAGUAAAGAUACCGUAAUCGAAAGUGACUUAAGCAAAAGUGAAUUUCACCCAGUGAAAUACUACUUGAGUAAAGGUUUAAAAGUAUUGUUUUUAAAUAUACGUAAGUAUCAAAAGUAAAAAUGAUUUCAAAUUCCUUAUAUUAAGCCAUACAGACAGCACCAUUUUUUUUACAUUUACGGACAGCUAGGGGCACACUCCAGACAUAAUUUAUAAAUUCACCAUGUGUGUUUAGUGAGUCCGCCAGAUCAUAGACAGUAGAGAUGACCAGGGGUGUUCUCUUGAUAAAGAGUGUGAAUUGGACCCUUUUCCUGUCCUGCUAAGCACUUAAAAUGUAACGUGUACUGUUGGGUGUCAGGGAAAAUGUAUGGAGUAAAAUGUACAUCACUUUCUUUAGGAAUGUAGUGAAGUAAAAGUUGUCAAAAAUAUAAAUAGUAAAGUACAGAAAAAAAUACUUCAGUAGUACUUAAAAGUUGUGUAAGUAAAAAUACUUUAACUUUACACUGCUGCUCUACAUUGUGAGGUCUAAGAUUAAAUUAAAAAAGGGCAACAUUCUGUAUGUCUGAUAUUUUAACUCCUGUAUGAGUCAUUGCUGCCCUUGACAACUUCCAUUUUUUAUACUAUUUUUGGAAUUCAAGAGACACUAUAAGGUCAAAAGUAUAUGGACACCUGCUUGUCGAACAUCUCAUUCCAAAUUAAUGGGCAUUAAUAUG
ensembl:lncRNA